rnacentral:rRNA from 1 species
AACGCGAAGAACCUUACCUGGCCUUGACAUCUACGGAAUUCUGCAGAGAUGCGGAAGUGCCUUCGGGAACCGUAAGACAGGUGCUGCAUGGCUGUCGUCAGCUCGUGUCGUGAGAUGUUGGGUUAAGUCCCGCAACGAGCGCAACCCUUGUCCUUAGUUGCCAUCAUUCAGUUGGGAACUCUAAGGAGACCGCCGGUGACAAACCGGAGGAAGGUGGGGAUGACGUCAAGUCAUCAUGGCCUUUAUGGCCAGGGCUACACACGUGCUACAAUGGCAGGUACAGAGGGAAGCCAACGCGCGAGCGGGAGCCAAUCCCAGAAAGCCUGUCGUAGUCCGGAUCGGAGUCUGCAACUCGACUCCGUGAAGUCGGAAUCGCUAGUAAUCGCAGAUCAGCAUUGCUGCGGUGAAUACGUUCCCGGGCCUUGUA